rnacentral:misc_RNA from 1 species
GUUGAAUCCACAUUUAGUGACAAUGAAUCAAGUUCUAUUCCAUUGUUCAUAAAAUAAAAAUUCACCAUCCUGAUUUACACUUGCAUCUUCACCAUCUCGGCCAUUGCCUGGCAUUACUGCUCAUGGUAAUAACUUCACAUUCAUGGUUUUCGAACUUCUCUUGCAAUCUUCCAGAUCAAAACAGCCCAUUUGAGCACAAGUUUUAAAUCUUCCAACAACCUUCAAUAUUCUCGAACCACAAAGUUUAAAUUUGACUAGUAAUUCCAUCACCUUUUGUGGUAUAAAUUGGAUGAGAAUCCACACCAGCAAAUUAGAAUCACUCGAAGGAAAAGAGUUUAGCAGAUGAUGCUGACACAACAGUUCAGUUACAAUAAGAAAAAUGCAGACGCUUUCUUUGCGACCAGAAGAGAACUUACCUGAGCUUGCAGACAUUGACUGUAAGGUGUUUGCA